rnacentral:rRNA from 2 species
UGGGGAAUAUUGGACAAUGGGGGCAACCCUGAUCCAGCCAUGCCGCGUGAGUGAUGAAGGCCUUCGGGUUGUAAAGCUCUUUUGGCGGGGACGAUGAUGACGGUACCCGCAGAAUAAGCCCCGGCUAACUUCGUGCCAGCAGCCGCGGUAAGACGAAGGGGGCUAGCGUUGUUCGGAAUUACUGGGCGUAAAGCGCGUGUAGGCGGUUAUCCAAGUCGGGUGUGAAAGCCUUGAGCUCAACUCAAGAAAUGCACUCGGUACUGGGUGACUAGAGGACCGGAGAGGAUAGUGGAAUUCCCAGUGUAGUGGUGAAAUACGUAGAGAUUGGGAAGAACACCAGUGGCGAAGGCGGCUAUCUGGACGGUUUCUGACGCUAAGACGCGAAAGCGUGGGGAGCAAACAGG